rnacentral:rRNA from 1 species
CGAACGCUGGCGGCGUGCUUAACACAUGCAAGUCGAACGGAAAGGCCCUGCUUUUGUGGGGUGCUCGAGUGGCGAACGGGUGAGUAACACGUGAGUAACCUGCCCUUGACUUUGGGAUAACUUCAGGAAACUGGGGCUAAUACCGGAUAGGAGCUCCUGCUGCAUGGUGGGGGUUGGAAAGGUUCGGCGGUUGGGGAUGGACUCGCGGCUUAUCAGCUUGUUGGUGGGGUAGUGGCUUACCAAGGCUUUGACGGGUAGCCGGCCUGAGAGGGUGACCGGCCACAUUGGGACUGAGAUACGGCCCAGACUCCUACGGGAGGCAGCAGUGGGGAAUAUUGCACAAUGGGCGGAAGCCUGAUGCAGCAACGCCGCGUGCGGGAUGACGGCCUUCGGGUUGUAAACCGCUUUCGCCUGUGACGAAGCGUGAGUGACGGUAGUGGGUAAAGAAGCACCGGCUAACUACGUG